rnacentral:rRNA from 1 species
GACGAACGCUGGCGGCGUGCUUAACACAUGCAAGUCGAACGGAAAGGCCCUGCUUUUGUGGGGUGCUCGAGUGGCGAACGGGUGAGUAACACGUGAGUAACCUGCCCUUGACUUUGGGAUAACUUCAGGAAACUGGGGCUAAUACCGGAUAGGAGCUCCUGCUGCAUGGUGGGGGUUGGAAAGUUUCGGCGGUUGGGGAUGGACUCGCGGCUUAUCAGCUUGUUGGUGGGGUAGUGGCUUACCAAGGCUUUGACGGGUAGCCGGCCUGAGAGGGUGACCGGCGACAAUGGGACUGAGAUACGGCGCAGACUCCUACGGGAGGCAGCAGUGGGGAAUAUUGCACAAUGGGCGGAAGCCUGAUGCAGAAACGCCGCGUGCGGGAUGACGGCCUUCGGGUUGUAAACCGCUUUCGCCUGUGACGAAGCGUGAGUGACGGUAAUGGGUAAAGAAGCACCGGCUAACUACGUG